GUCCCCGUAGUGUAGCGGUUAUCACGUCGCCCUGUCACGGCGAAGAUCGCGGGUUCGAUUCCCGUCGGGACCG
rnacentral:tRNA from 1 species